UUAAGCUGUCCUUCAUGCAAGCUGCCAUUUUCUUCCUGGAGGUCUUUUUUGGCUCUUGGUGUUUCAUUUGCCAGAAGAUGCCUUAGUGAUUUAUUCUCGAGCAUGCGCAAGAUGCUUCAUAGAUUGUGUCUCGUGGCGAGCGUGGCUGAAUCCCACUGUUGUCACUCGUGACACUUGCUGGGAUUGGACAAAAACUGAUGGGGUAGCGCUGGCUCUUGUCAAACUCAG